rnacentral:rRNA from 1 species
CAGCAGUGAGGAAGGUUCAUACGUUAAUAGCGUAUGGAUUUGACGUUAGCUGCAGAAGAAGCACCGGCUAACUCCGUGCCAGCAGCCGCGGUAAUACGGAGGGUGCGAGCGUUAAUCGGAAUUACUGGGCGUAAAGCGCAUGCAGGUGGUUUGUUAAGUUCAGAUGUGAAAGACCCGGGGCGUCAACCUCGGAAUAGCAUUUGAAACUGGCAGACUAGAGUACUGUAGAGGGGGGUAGGAAUUUCAGGUGUAGCGGUGAAAUAGCGUAGAGAUCUGAAGGAAUACCGGUGGCGAAGGCGGCCCCCUCGGACAGAUACUGACACUCAGAUGCGAAAGCGUGGGGAGCAAACAGGAUUAGAUACCCUGGUAG